GCUAGGAUAGUUUAACCAAACAUUAGGCCGUGACCCUAAAAAUAGAGCACCUCUUCCUAGCC
rnacentral:tRNA from 1 species